rnacentral:rRNA from 1 species
UACGGAGGGUGCAAGCGUUAUCCGGAUUCACUGGGUUUAAAGGGUGCGUAGGAGGGCAGGUAAGUCAGUGGUGAAAUCUCCGAGCUUAACUUGGAACUGCCGUUGAUACUAUCUGUCUUGAAUAUUGUGGAGGUGAGCGGAAUAUGUCAUGUAGCGGUGAAAUGCUUAGAUAUGACAUAGAACACCAAUUGCGAAGGCAGCUCGCUACACGAAGAUUGACUCUGAGGCACGAAAGCGUGGGGAUCAAACAGG